rnacentral:lncRNA from 1 species
AAUUACAAAUGAAUUACAAAACCAGAUACACAUGUACAUGUAUAAGUAACAAUUGUGUAACACUGGUAAAUAUAUUAAAGAAAAGAACCUUGUUCAAUCUCACCUAACCAAAAUAUUUUGAAAAUACAACCAGAUGUGCGGAUAUGAAAACAACAGAUAUUUUUUCUAUAUUUUCUGGUUUUACUGACUGUCUAAAGCAUUUUUAAUUUUAGUUUCUUGAGUUUAGUAUGACGUCCAUUAUCAAUGUACUAGUAUAUAUAUAUUUGUCAAGGGGCCAGCUGAAGAACGCCUCUGGCCUUGGGAGUUUCUUGCUGCAUUGAAGACCUAUUGGUGACUUCCGCCUGUUGUCUGUUCUAUGGUCAGGUUGUUGUCUCUUUCACACAUUCCCCAUUUCCAUUUUUAAUUUUAAAGUAAGUGUUUUGAACAUGUAAAUAAUAAAACCAAGUAAUGGCUAUAAACUUGUACUUCAAUGUUUCUUAUGCUUUGCUUGGAGUCAAUGACAUGAAUGAAAUACAUAAAGACGUCUGCAAGUGAUGACCUUGCGGGGCCUAUUAGUUACCUAAAAUCAUUUAAAUGGCAGUAAAACAUUAACCAAAUAAAAGAGUAUAAAAACAUGAAAAAUAUCUAAAAGACUUAACUGAAACUAAACUAAAACCCAUUCAUGCCAUUUAUAUAUAUAUAUAUAUAUAACACUACUUUUUUUAUUUUUC